rnacentral:rRNA from 1 species
GACGAACGCUGGCGGCGUGCUUAACACAUGCAAGUCGAACGAUGAAGCGCCUUCGGGUGUGGAUUAGUGGCGAACGGGUGAGUAACACGUGGGUAAUCUGCCCUGUACUCUGGGAUAAGCCCGAGAGAUUGGGUCUAAUACCGGAUAUGACUAUCAGCCGCAUGGUUGGUGGUGGAAAGUUCCGGCGGUAUGGGAUGAACCCGCGGCCUAUCAGCUUGUUGGUGGGGUAGUGGCCUACCAAGGCGACGACGGGUAGCCGGCCUGAGAGGGCGACCGGUCACACUGGGACUGAGACACGGCCCAGACUCCUACGGGAGGCAGCAGUGGGGAAUAUUGCGCAAUGGGCGAAAGCCUGACGCAGCGACGCCGCGUGAGGGAUGACGGCCUUCGGGUUGUAAACCUCUUUCGCACGGGACGAAGCGAGAGUGACGGUACCGUGAGAAGAAGCACCGGCUAACUACGUGCCAGCAGCCGCCGUAAUAC